GGUGCGUAACACGUGAGGAACUUGUCCGUCGGCGGGGGAUAGCCGGCCCAACGGCCGGGUAAUACCGCAUACGCUCGCUCGGGGGCAUCCCUGGGCGAGGAAAGCAGCCGCAAGGUUGCGCCGGUGGAGAGUCUCGCGGCCUAUCAGCUUGUUGGCGGGGUAAUGGCCCACCAAGGCGACGACGGGUAGCUGGUCUGAGAGGAUGGCCAGCCACAUUGGGACUGAGACACGGCCCAGACUCCUACGGGAGGCAGCAGUGGGGAAUAUUGCGCAAUGGCCGCAAGGCUGACGCAGCGACGCCGCGUGUGGGAUGACGGCCUUCGGGUUGUAAACCACUGUCAGGGGGGACGAAUACUCGGCCGCGAAUAGCGGACCGAGGGUGACGGUACCUCCAAAGGAAGCACCGGCUAACUCCGUGCCAGCAGCCGCGGUAAUACGGAGGGUGCGAGCGUUGUCCGGAAUCACUGGGCGUAAAGGGCGCGUAGGCGGCUCGCUAAGUUGCCGGUGAAAUCCCGGGGCUCAACUCCGGGGCUGCCGGUAAGACUGGCGGGCUAGAGCACGGUAGAGGCAGAUGGAAUUCCCGGUGUAGCGGUGGAAUGCGUAGAGAUCGGGAAGAACACCAGUGGCGAAGGCGUUCUGCUGGGCCGUUGCUGACGCUGAGGCGCGACAGCGUGGGGAGCAAACAGGAUUAGAUACCCUGGUAGUCCACGCCGUAAACGAUGGACACUAGGCGUCGGGGGGAGCGACCCCCUCGGUGCCGUCGCUAACGCAGUAAGUGUCCCGCCU
rnacentral:rRNA from 1 species